ACGCCUAAAUGAAUGAUGCAUUAUCUUAUUGAUACUGAAAGCAAGAAGAAUACAAAACUAAUCCAAACAAUCUAACAAUAUAAUACUAAGCCAACAUAGUAAAGAAAUCCCAAUGGAUUUAAUCAAUCUAGCUAAUCAUGUUCAUUAUCAAAAUACACAAGAAUUCAAUUACAACAAUGAGCAAAGGUAGAGAAAACCCGAUUACACCCUUGGAUGAGAG
rnacentral:lncRNA from 1 species